rnacentral:rRNA from 1 species
GUUUGAUCCUGGCUCAUAUUGAACGCUGGCGGCAGGCCUAACACAUGCAAGUCGAGCGCGAAAACACUUCGGUGUGAGUAAAGCGGCGGACGGGUGAGUAACGCGUAGGAAUCUACCUAGUAGUGGGGGACAACUCGGGGAAACUCGAGCUAAUACCGCAUACGCCCUACGGGGGAAAGCGGGGGACCUUCGGGCCUCGUGCUAUUAGAUGAGCCUGCGUUGGAUUAGCUAGUUGGUGGGGUAAAGGCCUACCAAGGCGACGAUCCAUAGCUGGUCUGAGAGGAUGAUCAGCCACACCGGGACUGAGACACGGCCCGGACUCCUACGGGAGGCAGCAGUGGGGAAUAUUGCGCAAUGGGCGAAAGCCUGACGCAGCCAUGCCGCGUGUGUGAAGAAGGCCUUAGGGUUGUAAAGCACUUUCAAUUGGGAGGAAAAGCUCACGGCUAAUACCCGUUAGCCUUGACGUUACCUUUAGAAGAAGCACCGGCUAACUCCGUGCCAGCAGCCGCGGUAAUACGGAGGGUGCAAGCGUUACUCGGAAUUACUGGGCGUAAAGCGCGCGUACGCGGCUUAUCAACUCGGAUGUGAAAGCCCCGGGCUCAACCUGGGAACU